CCUGGCUUCUGAAUCAGAAUCUGCAUCUAAGCAAUAUCCCCGGAUGAAUCCUCUGCCCGCAUGGAGUCUCUUUCCCAACUCACUCAGCUGACUGUGGUGCUGCUGUCUGUCUCUCGCCCUGUCGAUUAACCUUUCGGAAGCGAGAGGGGCGGUUCGUCCACACAUCGCUUGCUUGAUUAAUUUCGAUCACAUAUUAAUUGCUCUGGUGGCAGAUCAGGGAAGCAAACAAGCCAAGUUUUUAACUCUCCUUUGCUUUAAUGCUAACGUUUUGCAUUUCUAUAAUCUUACUUCUCAACAGGUAGAAAUGUUUUCCUCUGACCGUUUCCCCACCUUCCCACCAUCGCAGGAUUGCUCAGUCUUUCUGAGUCCAGACUAUUCAGAAGCAAUGCUGAGGGCAGCAAACCUGCAAUUGUCAAAUGGCUGUGUUGGCUGAGAAGUCCCCCGAAACCAAAUCAACAUCCACAUAAUGAGCUUGGUUUCCCAGUUGCGAAUUAUAACGAAGAGCAGCCAGCAUCUGAAGCCCUAAAGGGUGUGUGUGUGUGUGUGUGUGUGUGUGUGUGUGUGUGAUUUCUGAAGCACAUGAUAAGAAAGUAC
rnacentral:lncRNA from 1 species